rnacentral:tRNA from 1 species
CUUCGUUUCUCUUUCUUCAGAUGAUGAUCCCAAGCCUUCUGGCGAUCUCUUAAAAUAAAGCCCGGUCUGUUUCAAUAAACAGGAUGUUUAGACAUAUGUUUAAAUUCUACGGUUCUUAAAGACCAUAAAUUUAAAAAAAGGCUUUAUGAAGAAAGCUCUUUAAGCUUUUCCAGUGAUUUAAGAUGAUACCGGGGAAGGUUUUCCGGUUUAUCCCGGAGGGCUUGUAGCUCAGUUGGUUAGAGCGCGCGCUUGAUAAGCGUGAGGUCGGAGGUUCAAGUCCUCCCAGGCCCACCAAUUUAUGCUCGUUUUUUGCUUAUCCAAGAGUAUGAAGCUUAAGCGUAUUAAAGCCUCUUUUAAUCUUUGUUUAUUUUAAAGAUUUAAUUUUAUCAUUCAAAGAUUGUUUGUUAAAUUUAUUCUAUUAAGUUUGUCAAAGGGGGAGUUUGUCAAAGGAGGUUUUUAAAUCCCUUCAUUUUGAAAUUCCUUCAAGGUAUAGAGAAAUUUAUAUGAUGUAUAGAGAAAUUUAAAUGAUGCAAAUCAAAAUAGUACAAAUCAAAGUCGUAUAAAUGAUUCAAGUUGAUAAAUUUUCUUGAGGUUGAUUUGAGAGAGCAUUCUUUAGGGGCCGUAGCUCAGCUGGGAGAGCACCUGCUUUGCAAGCAGGGGGUCGUCGGUUCGAUCUCGUCCGGCUCCAUCACUUUAUGGUUCAUCAUCAUGUUGUAAGAACAUUGUUUUGCGAGAGGUUUUUGUUACUUCUUGCCUGUUCUAUUGAAAUUGUGAAGAGAAG